CCCGCUCUCAGGGUGGAGAGCGACCGCACCUGUAGGACUCCGCUCUGCUCCUGGAAGCUGACCCACGCCUCCUCCGUCCGCUGCGAGUCCUGGGGUACCGGAGCCUCGAUCAGACUCCAGGGGACACACCGCUCCCUACCCGCCUGCACUGUCCAGGCUCCUUCACACCUGAAGGCGCCCCUCCCCAGGGUCCCGAGUCCACUCGCACCUGCCGCAGGCCCUCCGCCUGCAUGGCGUGCUUGGCCUCCACCAGCUCCAGCUGUUUCUACGCGAGGAGCCAAGAAAAGUCAGGGACUCGCUCGCCCGCAGCCAACAGGUGUCUCAGGGCCCCGCCCACACCAGCCCCCAGGAGUCGUGGCCCCGCCUCGCCCUUCAGGUCCCACCCUUCAGGCCCCGCCCAAGCACCUGCAGCUCCACCAGCCUCCAGCUGUUUCUGCACCCUCUCCGCGCGCUCCCUCACCGCCUCGCGCGCCUCCGCUCUUAGGGCUGGUGCCGCUUGACUUCGCCUCCGCUGUAGGCUGCGGAGGGAAACUGAAGCCGGUGCUACAGCCAGGGCGCGGGGCCCUCAGGAUCCUGCGACUUCUGUCUCCCCGGGAAGGACCGGCGCGGGCGGGGUUGGAGCAGAACUCGCCAGGUUCGGGACGUGCCGGGCGCCCCCCUUCCUUUCCCCGGACGUCUGACAGGGUCGUCCGAGUGUCCAGCAGCCUCGGUGGAACGUGCGGGCCCGGCGAGGCGGCCCUGUCGCCUUCGGCCGCCGCCCGCGAGCCCUACAGCUCCGCCGAGCGGCGCUCCCCGCGCACCUGCGCUCCUGCUCGCGCAGUUCGUGCAGGCGUCCGGCGAGGCUCUCGCUCUCGGCCUCCAGCCCGCGCACCAGCUCCUCUAGCUCUUGCUUCCGCAGGCGGCCGUCACGGUUGUCCUUCUGCAGCUGCAGCCGCUGCUCCUGCGCCUCGGCCAUGGCUCCCGGCACUCUGAGCAGACCCUGGCACAGGGCCGGGCCCCGAACUGCGGCCGGCGUCACAAUGGGUACCUGGGCGCUCUCAGAGGCGAGGCGGGCCAAAGGGUCACCCUUAGGCCAACAUUAAUAAAAGUUUUAUCAGAAAUUGAAGCAGGAGGAUCGCAAAUUCGAGCCCAACGUGGGCAACAUAGAGAUUUAUUGAGUCCUGUUUCAGAAUAAAAGGGCCGAGGCUGUAGCUCUGCGCGAAGGCCCUCGGCUCAACCUCAGUAACUGAGGGGAAAAAAAUAGAGAAAAGGAUUAUUAUCAAACAUGUUACCUCCUGGGCAAAAUCUCUGCUUAUUUUUUGUAUAAAUAUCUUUCCCAGCUGAGCGGCUCUCAAUUUUUUGUCUCAGGAUUCUUUCAUACUUUUGAGAAGUCAUUGAUCCCAAAAAGCUUUUAAGUAGAUAAUAUACCACAGUAUUCAAAUUAAAACUGAACAGUGUUUAAAAUAUUUAUUAAACCUUACGUAAUACUAUGAAAUUAUUUGCACAUAAAUGUUUUCAAAAACUAGAAUGAAAGUAAAUCUACAAAUCUAAUGUCUGAUUUAACAUGAAACAAUUGUUUCUUCUUUUACUUCAGUCUGCUGCUGCAUUCUGUCUGUUGGAAUAUGUUGCCUUGGUUGUGAUGAAGAAAACCUGGCCUCACAGAGAUAGUUGCUUGGAGACACAGAAAAGCCAUUCAAAAUGAACAAACUCCAGAACAAAUGCACGGAGAUGGCAGUUGAUAAGCUGACUCAUUUUGGGUAGAACAGUGGUCAUAAACUAAGCUGUUUGAGGGAUGGGAUACUGAAAGAGUAGGAUAUGGUUGGAUGUGGUGGUUAUACCUAUAAUCCCAGCAUUCUGGGAGGCUGAGGCAGGAGGAUUCCAAGUUUCUACUCUUUAACGGCUACUCCAAAAGAUUUUUCAAAAGGGAGAUUUUUCACCUGUCAGGACACUCAGCCCUGGGGAUGUAGACCAGCCACUGUGAGUCGGCCCCAUGGCCUUCUGAUGAUUUACCAUAUGCUGAAUCCUGAAAAAACUGGGCAUGCGGAGGCUAUGCCACAUGUGCCACUGAGUCAGGAGCCCAUUGUGCAGCAGGAGCCAGUGGAGUACAGCCAGCCAGAGUCUCACACACUGGAACCCACACCACACCAGACUCCAUGGACCAAGUGAUUGAUCACUUUCUCUUGGGCCAGGUUUGUCCUUUCUAGCAUCUCCAUCUUCACCUGAAAGGAACUGAGGCAGCAUAAAAAUUCACAGCAUCCUUGAGUAAUUCAGGGUAGAAAACAAAAAAUGUGUUUCCCAUAAUUGGUAAGAUCUCCGAUUUUUCUCCCCAGCAUAGCUCAUUUGAGAGCUCAGGCCCUUCUUAUGACUCAAGAUUAUUUUGGGGGUUCAAACAACAAACCUCUUCCUUGAGUUCUCUAUCCCCUCACCCCACUGGUCAGCCCAGACUCAGCCUCUCCCCAUCCUGAGCACAUAGCAGAGCAGAUUCUUUCAAAUGCAUCCCCUUCCAUUUCUUCCCUCAAUGGAAGUUUUAACAGUCUCUCAUCAUCAUUGUAAUUCAGUACAGAAUGAUUCUUGCUUUUGCAAAAUGAAGACACUUCUAUUUUCAUUGCUGGCCAAGGAAAAAAAACUAUAGUAUGUUAAUAUUUUCUGUCCCCCAAAAAUUCGUAUGUUGAAGCACUAAUCUCUAAAGUAACUGCUUUUGGAGAAAGGGCCUUAAAGAAAAUAAUUAAGAUUAAACGUGGUCAUAAAAAUGAGGCCAUGAUUCCAUCAAGUUGGUGUUCUUAUAUAAACAGGGUUUUGCACACCUGUAAUCUGAGCAUUGGAGGAGAGUAAGGCAGAAGGUUAGCAAAUUCAAAUCCCACCUGAGUAAUUUACCGAAACUGUGUUACAAUGAGAAAUAAGGCUGAGAUGUGGCUCAGUAAUAGAACCCUUGUGUUCAGUUUCUAGUACCAAAAAAUAAUGACACCAAACAGCUCACUCAUUGUUCUGUAUCUGUCUCUCUAUAUAUCUUCCCAAAGAGAAGAUCACGUGAGCACACAGAGAGAUGGCAAUCACAUAUAAACCAAGAGAGGAAACCUCAGAGUGACACCUACUGUAAUGGAAAUUUUAUAGCAAGAAAUUUUAAAAAUUAAUUAGUAACCUGUUAUUGUAUUAGGACAAGAUGUGCUUACCCCGCCUGUCACAUAAUUACACUGUUAAACCUAGUCACCCUUGACUGUGUCCAGCUGCUUUUCACAGAUACCCUAAUUCAGGUCAGCCUGUCCCAGUUCAGCUGCAAGUGCUAUAUUUUUCCACCUAAAAAUAUAGCCCAUUUUUCCAAUAUGCUUUAAGGACUUUCUACCUGGGACAAGAUAGCCCAAUCAAGGACAUACUUAACUCUACCUGCCCUGCUCAGCAGCCCCUUUCCUAGAAUUUCCCUGCCUCAUAAUAAACAAUUUAUUUUAGUUAAUUCUACCUGACAAUGUAUAACUUAAUUCAUGUAACCAAUUAUAUGAUAACCUGCUAUUAGCUUUUAUACUUCCUGCUUACAAAAUGUAUAUAAGUUUCUGUUUCUCUGUUAACCAGAGCUGAUGAUUUGUAACUGAUUCCCACUAGCCUAUUAGCAUAAUAAAUCAUUGCCUUCUAAACUCCUUGGUGAGAGGUGCCUUCCUUUUGGUUCAGUAACAGGUUUCUGCAACCCUACCUUGCUGGGACAUCCAGAGAUGGAUGGUUGGACAGGAGUCCUGACAUAAGCAGGUUGCAGGGAAUGGGGAAAGAUGAGGAUGAUAGCGGGGUAGUGACACAAUGCUAAUGCCUCACCUUUGUUUGAUAUCUCACCCACAUAGUUCUGAGGAAAUAUUUGAUUCCAGUGGCUUUUUGUGGAAGAUCACUAUCAGCAAAGGACACCCAGCCUCUCUGCAGAGGAAGAUGACUAAUUUCCUGGACUUAGAUUUUUUGUUGUUUUUCAAGUAUCUUGGGGUUCCUCAUUACGUUUUUUAUUUGAGCUUCCUUUUUUCUAAUGGAAGCAUUGAUUGCAAUAAUCUUUCCCUUUAGGGCUGUUUUCAUUGUGUCCCAUAGAUUUUGGUGUGUUGUACCAGCAUAGUUGUUUAUUUCCAGAAAUUAUUUAAUUUCUUCUUUGAUUACUUCUGUGCCCUAUUGGAUAUGUAGGUAUAUGUUAUUAAAUUUCUAAGUGUUUCUUAAUUUUCCGGGGCUUCUUUUGUGAUUGACUACUAGUUUCAUUGUACAAUGAUCUAAUAGGAAACACGGGGUAAUUUUGAUUCUUUUAUAUCUAUUUAAGCAGGAUUUGUGGACAAGUUCUGGUCUAUUUUGGAGAAAGUUUUAUGUGCUGCUGAGAAGAAUGUGUACUCUGUUGUAGUAGGGUAGAAGAACCCUCGAUAGAUAUCUAAUAAGUUUGUUUGUCAAGGGUGUGAUUUAG
ensembl:lincRNA